AGUAAAAGUCGUAACAAGGUCUCCGUUGGUGAACCAGCGGAGGGAUCAUUAAUGAGUUUUCUAAACUCCAAACCCUUGAGAACAUACCUAGUUGCCCCGGCGGACUUGCCCUGGGACGACCUACCCUGCAGCGAGUUACCCUGUAACGAGUUGCCCUGUAGAGACCUGCCCUGUAGCCUGCCCGCCGGCGGCCAACCUAAACUCUGUUUUAUUGUGGCACUUCUGAGGAUUAUUCUAAAUGAAUUAAAACUUUCAACAACGGAUCUCUUGGUUCUGGCAUCGAUGAAGAACGCAGCGAAAUGCGAUAAGUAAUGUGAAUUGCAGAAUUCAGUGAAUCAUCGAAUCUUUGAACGCACAUUGCGCCCAUUAGUAUUCUAGUGGGCAUGCCUGUUCGAGCGUCAUUUCACCAAUCAAGCCUCGCUUGGUUUUGGGCGAUGCGCAUGUCGCACGCCUCAAAUGCCCCGGCCGAGCAGUCUCUCACCCGGCGUCGUGGAAACAUACCGCUACGGAGACGAGACCUGCCCGUGCCGCAGAAUAACCUAUUAACAAAGGUUGACCUCGGAUCAGGUGGGGAUACCCGCUGAACUUAAGCAUAUCAAUAAGCGGAGGA
rnacentral:rRNA from 1 species